UUUACAAAGAUUAAGAACGAACUAAUAGGCUGGCAAGUUAACGCAUGAUUACAUAUACACGUGAUUAGGAGAGCAAUCUAUAUUAUAAGAUGCAAUAGUCCAUGCAGAAAGAGCGUCUGAAGUCACGGCGGUCGCGUAGUAAAGUCAUAAAUUAUGUCGUUUGUGUCAACACUCGCGUCUCCACGGAGUGAUAUCAUGAUUACAUCGACUUGACUGUACCGGAUCAAAUGAUGAAUAUUCAAGAAGCGCGAAGCGUACUCACGGUGAGCGGAAUACCUGGUAUGACAAGCACAACGUGACAGAUCACAAGCACAACGCGAUAAGCACAACGAUGAGCGGACUCGCUUGCCCCAACAUGGACAGAAUCUGGUCAAGAUGAUGUAUACCAGCUGAAGUACGAGCGGGGCCCAUGAAUUUACUGGGACGCUGACCUCUUCCCACAGCCUCCGUCGACGAUAUCACUUGGUCAAGAAUAGCGACUUUCCUGAGAGAUGAAACAAUCUAGCGACAGGAGACUCCAGCGGGUCAGUUCUUCCCGUAAUCCACAUCUCUUUCAGCUGUAACAUACAUGAGAUAACGCAUAACUGACUGGCUGUCGUGGUUUGAUGGUUUGUGUUAACUGGGAAACCGCACUGAUCUGUAAACAACGGACUGUAAAUGAUCUGUGGACAACGGAUUGUAAAUUGUCUGUGGACAACGUACUGUAAAUGUUCUGUGGACAACGGGCUGUAAAUGAUCUGUCGUCAACGGACUGCAAGUGAUCUGUGGACAACGGACUGUAAAUGUUCUGUGGACAACGGGCUGUAAAUGAUCCGUGGACAACGGGUUGUAAAUGUUCUGUGGACAACGGGCUGUAAAUGUUUUGU